GUGAGUCAGCGGUGACAGGGACAGAACCUAGAGCCCGGGAUCCGGAGCUUCUGGCCCCGGCCGUGACUCGGCGAUCCGAGCGCCCCGCCCCCACCCAGGCCCCCGGGCCGGGCAGCGGGGGCCAGGAGGGGGCGGGGCAGGGCGCGGCCGGGCUCUGGGUGAGGCCGGAACUGCUUCAUUGUGCAGGACUGGAACAUUCGAAGGCGAAGGCGCCCGACCCGUGGGCCCAUUAGCCUCCCUCGCUCCUCCCUCUCUCCCUCCCUCCCUCCCUGUCUCUCAGACCACCACGCCCGGCAGCUGCCUCCAGACCGGUCCCUACCCAGCGUCUCUCCGCUCCGGGUCCCGAAGCCCCACCUUGCCGCAGGCUUCCCGGAGCCCAGGACCUCAGGAAGCCCCUCCCUUGGCCGUCAGCCCCCCGCAGAGCCCUGGAUGCCAUGGAAACCGCCAGGCUUGGGUAGGGGGGCCCCCUUCUGGGCCUGCUGGGGUUCAGUGUCUUUGAAGACACUUUGAGGACUCAGAACCACCCAUUCAUUGGCCAUCAACGAAAAGCCACUACCUGUCGCUGGGUAUGCUGACACACGCCUUUAACCCCAGCUGAGGCAGAGGGAUCUCCA
rnacentral:lncRNA from 1 species